rnacentral:rRNA from 1 species
UACAGAGGUCUCAAGCGUUGUUCGGAUUCAUUGGGCGUAAAGGGCGCGUAGGCGGCGGGGUAAGUCGGGUGUGAAAUCUCAGAGCUCAACUCUGAAACUGCACUCGAUACUGCUCUGCUUGAGGACUGGAGAGGAGACUGGAAUUCACGGUGUAGCAGUGAAAUGCGUAGAUAUCAGGAGGAACACCCAUAGCGAAGGCAGCUCGCUGGGACGGUACUGACGCUGAGGCGCGAAAGCGUGGGGAGCGAACAGG